CCAGAAGGCUGGACCGCCGCCGGAUCGCAAGAUUGGGAGGAAAGUCCGGACAUCAUGGAACAAUGGAACCGGAUAACCUCCGGCGGGGGCAACCCCAGGGAUAGGACCACAGAGAAGAUACCGCCUGCAUGGCUUCGGCUUUACAGGUAAGGGUGAAAAGGUGCGGUAAGAGCGCACCGCGCACGUGGCAACACGGGUGGCAGGGCAACCCCUUCCAGAUGCAAGACCAAAUAGGAAUCCCGCGGCGGCAACGCCAGUUCCUGUUCCAGAGCGAGGGGUUCGGGUUGGACGCUUGAGCCAGCAUGUGAAUGCUGGCCUAGAGGAAUGGCGGUCUACAACAGAAUCCGGCUUACAGGCCUUCUGGUUUU
rnacentral:RNase_P_RNA from 1 species